UCUCCCACUUCCCUCUCUCUCCACCUUCUCACCUAUUCCCCACCCCAUGGAGAAAAUUCUUUCUCCCGGCAGCAGCUUGUGCACGCGUGAUUUCGAAGCAGAGGAAACAAGUGCGCGCACGUGCGUGUGCGUGCGAGCGUGCGAGUUUGGUGUGGAAUGGCGCUGAGUGGGGAGGGAGAGGGGAUUUGCGGGACCACCAGAUCUUUGGACGGCCUCUCUGAAGGCACAGCUUUAAUUCUGGGCGAGAAAGAAGAUGGGGACACAGAAGCUGUGAGGAGAUAAAUCACCUUCCAAAUGUCACAUAACAGGUUUGGGCCCUCAUGGGUGACAGAAAAGUCUCACAGUACUGGUUCCUGUUUGAACACACAUGUUCGCUGGGUCUCGCCUUGCAGCGGGAAGACAGAGAAGGCUGGAAUCACCGCAUUCCCACAGCAAGGGCAAUCUUUAAAGGCAGUAAGGUGUGACGCUCCAGACUGGCAGCUUGGCAAGACGGAGCCCAUGGAUACCAGCACACGGGAAUCUGGACCGUUCACUCUGACAGCAGUCAGCACUGGGAACAAAAGGAAUGGAGGGAAAAAAGCGCAAAUGUAUUUUUACAUAUUGUAGGCAUAUGGCCACAAGACCAGCAGAAAUAUAUUUAAUUACCAAUUGCGCGCAUUGAGGAGAAAAACACUAGGAAGGAAAAAAAAACUGUGUACACAGCAAUAUUAUUCUACUUUAACUUUUCACCUCCUUUUUUUUUUUAAAUUGAAGAUAAAAGGGAUGUGGAUUAGAAUGGAAAAGGGUUAUCUAUUGGAAUCCUAUGAAAGGUGAUGAGGGUUUUUCAUGCGCCUUCCUCAAUAGCGUAACAUUGUGGUGGGAAAUAGCAACCUCCAGCUGUCUGCCUCCUGUCUAUUCAGAAGCUUUUGGUGAUGAAGGUAGAGCCCAUAAGAAGGAAACUGCUGCAUGAACUCACCAGCACAGGCAGGCAAUCUGCAGGUUAACACAUUCCACAGCAUUGAUCCCCUGUGAGGACCCAGGCUCAGAGAUGGAUGCUUGCUUGCUGGACAAAGUUUGUCUCUGGUGUCCCUUAAAAAUACCUAGAACAGGACCUCUUUCUGAAGACUGUACAGUGUUCAGAGUGGGAUGCAAAGGAGAGCUCUGUAUCCAGGAAUCUUGUCCAGGUGCCCAGGGUUGGUGACCUAGCCACCCCAGCCAUCUAGGCUGAAUAGUCACCCAGGUGACCUGACAAAUACCUCUGCCAAAUGGAGAUGCUUGAAUCUGGUUAGAAGCUGAAGAUUCAAUCAGCCAUUGUUCAAGAUUAACAAAGAUAGUAGGUGACCAGAAUCCGUGAGUCAUCAGAAACCUUGAGGCAGAGACUACAGGAAGAGUCUGUUGGUAGUGGAGACAUCUUAGCAAAUAGCAGCUAUGUGAGGCUGUGUGGCCAUAAUGGCAGGUCCCUGGAAGGAGCAUCAGAAGUUUACCUGCCAUGGAGAGGAAAGGGAAACCAGGUGACUCAACCUGGCUUGUGUCUUAAAAGUUGAUCCAGGGUCCAUGGGUGUGACUUGGAGGCUGUUUUCUGCAUUCUUCAGUUUCUGCGUUCAACCUUAUAAGAAACCCU